GUUUGCUGUUUUGCAGCCACCAUGAACUGCAGCCCAGCCAUGCCCUCCUGCCUUGGAGCCGACUGAGUGUGGACUGAAACCUCCAAAAACUCCACCAUGAACUGCGCCCCACCAUGCCACCCUGCCUCGGAGCCAACUGAGUGUGGACUGAAACCUCCAAAAACUGCAACACUUUGUGUGUUAAAUCAUACAAGAUCAGCACUUAAAUCAGCAUUGGAAACUCACUGGGAAGAUGGUCAUUUCUGAAUCAGCAAGACGUGAUUAGUGACAAGAAGUUAUCUGAGAACUACAAGAACUCUUUUUUUUGCUUUUGUAAGAUAUUAUGCAUAUAAACGGAAUGACCAGAGAGUCUGUUUUUGUUUGUUAAUUGAUAGUACGAUACAGAAAA